rnacentral:rRNA from 1 species
CGAGGACAGUGUCAGGUGGGCAGUUUGACUGGGGCGGUCGCCUCCUAAAAAGUAACGGAGGCGCCCCAAGGUUCCCUCAGAAUGGUUGGAAAUCAUUCGAAGAGUGCAAAGGCAGAAGGGAGCUUGACUGCGAGACCUACAAGUCGAGCAGGGACGAAAGUCGGGCUUAGUGAUCCGGUGGUACCGCAUGGAAGGGCCAUCGCUCAACGGAUAAAAGCUACCCUGGGGAUAACAGGCUUAUCUCCCCCAAGAGUCCACAUCGACGGGGAGGUUUGGCACCUCGAUGUCGGCUCAUCGCAUCCUGGGGCUGAAGUAGGUCCCAAGGGUUGGGCUGUUCGCCCAUUAAAGCGGUACGCGAGCUGGGUUCAGAACGUCGUGAGACAGUUCGGUCCCUAUCUGUCGUGGGCGUAGGAAAUUUGAGAGGAGCUGUCCUUAGUACGAGAGGACCGGGAUGGACGUACCGCUGGUGUACCAGUUGUUCCGCCAGGAGCACCGCUGGGUAGCUAUGUACGGAAGGGAUAAGCGCUGAAAGCAUCUAAGCGUGAAGCCCCCCUCAAGAUGAGAUUUCCCAAUUAGUAAGACCCCUUGAAGACGACGAGGUAGAUAGGUUGGAGGUGGAAGUGCAGUAAUGCAUGGAGCUGACCAAUACUAAUCGGUCGAGGGCUUAUCCUAAA